UACGAAGGGGGCAAGCGUUAUCCGGAAUUAUUGGGCGUAAAGGGUUCGUAGAUUGUUAAUUCUUUUUUAAGUUAAAUAUUAAAGCUAACCUUUAAAACUGCUUAAAAUAAAAUUUAACUUGAGUAUAACAGAGGACAACAGAAUUUCAUACAUAGGAGUGAAAUCCCAUCAUUUAUGAAGGAAUGCCAACGGCGAAAGCAGUUGUCUGGGUUAUUACUGACAUUGAGGAACGAAAGCGUAGGGAG
rnacentral:rRNA from 1 species